rnacentral:rRNA from 1 species
AUUGAACGCUGGCGGCAUGCUUUACACAUGCAAGUCGAACGGUAACAGGCCGCAAGGUGCUGACGAGUGGCGAACGGGUGAGUAAUGCAUCGGAACGUGCCCAGUCGGGGGGGAUAACUGCUCGAAAGAGCAGCUAAUACCGCAUACGAUCUAUGGAUGAAAGCGGGGGACCGUAAGGCCUCGCGCGAUUGGAGCGGCCGAUGUCAGAUUAGGUAGUUGGUGGGGUAAAGGCUCACCAAGCCAACGAUCUGUAGCUGGUCUGAGAGGACGACCAGCCACACUGGGACUGAGACACGGCCCAGACUCCUACGGGAGGCAGCAGUGGGGAAUUUUGGACAAUGGGGGCAACCCUGAUCCAGCAAUGCCGCGUGCAGGAAGAAGGCCUUCGGGUUGUAAACUGCUUUUGUACGGAACGAAACGGUCUGGGUUAAUACCCUGGGCUAAUGACGGUACCAUAAGAAUAAGCACCGGCUAACUACGUGCCAGCCGCCGCAGUAACAC